AUGACCAAUAAGUACAUAAAAAGCUUUUCAGCAUCUUUGGCCAUUAAAAAACAAAAAUCAAAACACUGAUAUUCCAUCUUACUUCAGUAAGAAUGGGUAUCAUCAAAGACUCAAGAAACAACAAAUUUUGGUGAGGUUGUGGGGAUAAAGGAAACUUCUACAUUGUUAAUGGGAAUGUAAACUAGUAGAACCCCUAUGAAAAUCAGUAUGGAGAUUUCUCAGAAAACUAAAAGUAAAAAACUUCAAUUUGACCCAGUUAUACCCUUUCUGGGUAUCUUUCCAAAAGAGUUAAAGUUAUCAUAUUAUAAUGAUUAAUGAAUACUCAUGUUUAUAGCAGCACAGUUCACAAUAGCUAAAUUCUGGAAGUUACCUAUACUGUAUGCCUAUCAACAAAUGAAUGGAUAAAGAAAAUGUGGAAAAUAUACACAAUAGAGUACUACUCAGCCAUAAGAGGGAUAAAUAUGAGUUAUUUGUAGGAAAAUUGAUGGAUCUUGAGAUAUAAUGCUAAGUGAAGUAAAUCAGACACAGAAGGUUAAAUAUCACAUGGUUUUUCAUAUGAGAAAGCCAAAAUAUAAAUAAUUUAAACAGCAAAAUAAAGAUGGCAGGAAACAGGAAGAUUUUGAAGAUGGGAAGAUCUGGGAAAGGAAAAGAGGGGAAAGGGAAAGAAGAGUAAAGAUGAUCAACAUGCAAUAUGUGAAUGUACCAAUUCCCAAAAAUGAAUGUAAUUAUUAUAUGUCACAAACAUAUAUUAAUAACAAAUUUUAAAAAAGAAAAGAAAAAGCCUAAGCCUGGCCUGAUAGCCUGGGAUCAUGGGUGGGAGGCUGAGGACAGGUGUGGUUUCAGUGGGGGCUGUCUAGUGAUGAGUUCUCAUAGAAAAUUGCUGAGAUUCCUGGCAUGGCAGGUUUCUAUAUGGGAUCAUUUCUCUGAUUGUUCUAUAAUUCACGACUGCAUAUUAUAAAUUUUGAUCCAUUGCCUUGGGUUCUAAUUGGAGAACAUUCUCCAUUUCAUAGAGUUGCUUUCUUUAGUGGUGACAAGGGGAAUACUGUUCCUGCCACUCCCUGGGUAGGGAUCCUAUGUAUUCUGAGUACAUCCAACGUAUGCUCAUAUGAGAGUUUGUUAAAGAUUUUUUUUCCAUUCUCUAAUAAAUAUUUAUCAAGAAAGAGAUCAACAACGGUCUUUGAUUAGAUUCAGUGCCAAUUGGUGUCUGGCAUGCUUGGCAUUAUUCUGUCCCUGGCCCCUUUGCAUGUGCUGGGUUGUAGGUGGCAAUCAAGGAAUUAAGGCUGCAGCUGAAGCAGUGGUCCCAGAAACCCUCUUAGACACUGGAAAGUGACCUGGGCAGGGAAGUAAAUUGUUCUUCCUCUUUGAGCUUGGGAGAUGAGGCCUGGAGUUUGAGCACAGAUGUGCCAUCUUGAAAAUAAAAGAAGGAUUGGCUCGAGGAGAGAUGCUUGGAGUAGUCUUGGGUUAGGCAUGGUCCUGGAUGUCUCUGCACAGACUUUCUUGGGUGCUCAGAGAAUUGGGGAAUAUCCAGCAGUGCCUCUAAGCCCAGUCCAGGGAGAUGGACCUUUUCCUAGGCUGUUCCCUCGAGAAGCCCAGAAUAUCCUUGAGGGGCCUGGUCUUAUUCAUGUCUCUUAUCUUUGCUUCUGACCCAAGUCCAGCAACGAUUGUUGCUCUAAUGUCAUGUGAUCCAGCAAGGCUCUAAGACCAGACUCUGCCUCCAACUCUAGCCACACUUUUCCCACUCUCCAGUUACUUGUCACUCACACAAUACAUGUUGUUUUCCAUUCUUUGGCUACAUCAAGGUCCUCCCCUGCCAUGUCUACUUCCCUAAAUGCUGUUCUCUUUGUCUAGAACACUUUAUCUACUUCUUUACCUGGCUGAUUUAUCCACAUUGACAGGUUCCAGCUUAUUGUUUUUUUUUUUGUUUGUUUGUUUUUGUUUUUUUUAGUAUCAGGGAUCAAACUUGGGACCUUGCACUUGUGAGGCAGGUGGCAGCACCACUGAGCUAGAUCCCUGGCCUGACAGGUUCCAGUUUAGCUAUCAUUUCCUCCAGGAAGUCUUCCUUGACUUGCAAACUAGGUCAGGCUUCCUGGCUGGUGCUGUCUUUGUUCUUAUGUCUGCAAUUAGAGGUUCACUUGGGUAAUAAUUGGUCCAAUGUCUUCCUCACAACUAGAUGGUAAACUCUGUGAUGGGAAAGACCGUGGACAUUUUCUGACCUGAAACUUGCAUAAUAAGUGAGCAAAACUUUUUGGAGAAUAAAUGAUUCAAAUUUCUCACACUUCAGUCACAUAACAAUUCAAACAUGGGGUAGCUGGUGCUGUACCAAACAAACAGGCUUUGUUUUGCAGUUAAUGAAUUAGUGAAGGCAUAGCAAUUGAUUGCUUUUUAUGUGUAGAGAAAUUAUCUCUGUCCUGAUUUUCAAUAUCUGUGCUAUUUUGGGCUGUUUUUCUCUUUUUGGCCUAUUUGUAUUGCCGCAAUAAUUUCACCAUUUGGCUUCACAGAGGCCCAAUAACUAUUACAAAUAAGGUUCCAUAAAAUUUACUUCUUGACAUUAGAAUGUUUUGUUGCUAAUUACUCUCUGAGGUUUUUAAUUUCAAUCCCUCCUAGGUGAUUUAGUGCAGAAAUUCAAGGGCACAGUUAUUUCCCCCAAAGGGAAAGGAGAACUAAGUAAUGCCAAGUUUCUAUUUGCCCUACCUUCUGGUAGAGCUAUCUCAGUUUUGAUUCUAUCUAUUGUACUUUAUCCUGGCCAGAAAAGAAUAAGUGAACAAAAAUCUUACUGGAAAAAAGAUAUAAAUUCUUGGGGAAAAAUAAAAGUACUCUUUCACUAAUGUAGUCAUUUGAACAAUAUUUAUUGAGUACUUAUGAGGUGUGAUCCAAAAAUAAGAUGAAUGCUUAAAUUUUUAAAAAAUUAAGUAAAAGACAUUACCAUGAAUCCCUCCUCAAAAUACUCCCCCUUGCUUUGAACACAGUUACUCUGUCAUUCUUUGAAGCACUUCUGGAAGUUCUCUCUUGUGUCUUUAGUUGUGCUGUUGUGGUUGCCUAGAUGUUCUGAAUCAGUUCAAAACAUUUACUACCUUUCAUGGUCAUUUUGACUUUCAGGAAGAGCCAGAAGUCAUAUGGUGCCAGAUCUGGUGAAUAAGGUAGUUGAAGACAUACAGUAAUGUUUUUACAAGGCUGCCGUUCUGUUGGCUGGCAGCAUUCAUUAUAUUUUUUGUCACACCUUGUAAAGACAGUCAGAAAAGAGGACUGUCAGAACUGCUUCAGAAAGUGGCAAGAACAAUAGGAUAAAUAUUUUCAAAAUGAGGGGGAUUAAUGGCAAUCUGUCUUUUACUGUAAUACUUUAAAAAAGGUUAAAAAAUAUUCACUGUAUAUUUUGAUCACACCUUGAAUUAUGCAUCAGAUUCUGUGUUCUAGGCAUGGAAGAUGAAUAAAAGAAUACAACAUGUUGCUGUCUCCAGGUAGUUCACAGAGUUGGGUGGGCAAGAAAUGUUGAAGAUUCUCAGGCAUGUCUGGGAGUGAAUCUCAUGGUGGAACUUGGUAGCAAAAGCCCAUCCAGAAGUGUCAUAUCAGUCUCCAGGGGUUGAAAUGAGGGGAACUUUGGUUAUUUUUCAUUUGAAGACACUGUCUAACUGGAAAGAAUGUGAAUUUUAAUAAUAUUUUGAAUGGGUUGAUAAAAUAGGAACAGAUGGUUAAAGUUUGUCAUUUCAGGAAAAAUAAUGAAAUAUUGCACAGCUGAAUCUGCCUCUCUUUCACACUCUUCCCUAUCCCCUCCCCACCGCAGAUACACUCAGAUGCAUGAAAAUUUAAAGCAAAAUACUAAUAAUAUCUUUUAGCCACUUUAGGUCUCCAUACCCAAAAGGACCCUAACUUUUUCAGUCAUUUCUAUGUUACUGUGUUAGCCUUUUAUUCCAAUGGUGCAUCCUGAGAGGAGCCUUUCUACAGGAUAUUGCUUUGUGGGGAUAUAAGAGAUGGUGGGGAAGUGAGACUUGCCUGAGUGUCUCUCUGCCAUGAAGAAAACUGGCUUUGCUUUAUUGACCAGAGCAGAUGUACUCUUUGAGGAACUCAGCAGGGUAAGUAUGAGUUGGGUAAGAUAUCCUAUCUACCAGCUCCUAGGAUUUUUAUGAGUAGAAGCUCUAACUGCUGACACGUUCCUGGUCAAGAGAAAGCAGAUCCUCACCAUUAUCACCUGUACUUUCUUGGAUUUAUUCCAGUUGCACAUCUCUGAAGUUUUCCUUUUAUUCUGCUUGGACAGCACAUUAGAUGAGAUCAAACGCUGAGAGAGAGACAUAAGCACUGCUUUGGCACUGUUGCUAGAAACUCUUGGGAGAAUGAGCAUUGUGUACCAUUUGCCCAUUGCUUGCCGACUUCAGUAGCAAGAGUCUUCAGAAUGCUCCUGGAUAAACAUAAUCUUUGUGGCCAUACAUUGUUUUAUGAGCUGAGUCUUUAGCUUGGCUGGCUCCUUAAAUGCUGCUGUCUGAUUCUCCAGGCAGCAGAAAACAAGGAAAGAAGAGCUCACCGAGCUUUGUGGAUGGCCAAUUUCACUUGCCAAAGGUGAUGGGGAAUUUACCCUUAUGGAAUUUGCUUAUGACAGAAGAAUUGCUGAUCAACUUAAAUUUCAUUUCUGAUAGAAAGAUGAUGCUGUCUGCAUUUCUUGUACAUUGUUUACAGAAUGUGUGUUUGAUUAUAGGCUAUUUUGAAUAUCCACCAGUCUGAAAGAGUUUCCUGCUGAAAGCAUGACUACUUCCUUACUCAUCGAGUUUCGUUUAUCAUUUAAGGAUGAAUGCCCUCCUAUCCUGUAGCUGAGGUGUGCAAUCAUGGUGUGGACAAUUUUUUUGGAGGGAGUCUGAAGAAACUGUUAUCUAAGAUGGAUUCAUACUGGAAGCAAGAGAGCAAACUGGGAAAAAUGGCCUUAGGCUCUGUGAUUGUCAUUGUGUACAUUAGACAAGACAAUGAAAGUAGAGGAUGAAAUAAGACCUUUCUGGUUGUUCAGAAGGCCUGUGUAGCUUGGCCCCACUUACUGGACAGAGCUUCCUGGAGAGAGUUUUUCGAGAAUGUGGCUUCAUUCCAUAGUAUUGCUUUAUGGUGGCCAUUGGGCAGGGGGAUCUAUCUUCCUGGGAGUUAGUUACAUAAAUAAAGACAUCUCUUUUGUUA